AACGAACGCUGGCGGCGUGCCUAACACAUGCAAGUCGAACGGGGUGAGGGAGCUUGCUUCUUCAUCUAGUGGCGCACGGGUGAGUAACGCGUGGAUAAUCUGCCCGAUGCUCUGGGAUAACAUCUCGAAAGGGGUGCUAAUACCGGAUAAGCCCACGGGGUCUUAGGAUCUUGCGGGAAAAGGGGGGGACCUUCGGGCCUCCCGACAUCGGAUGAGUCCGCGUCCCAUUAGCUAGUUGGUGGGGUAAAGGCCUACCAAGGCGACGAUGGGUAGAUGGUCUGAGAGGAUGAUCAGCCACACUGGAACUGAGACACGGUCCAGACUCCUACGGGAGGCAGCAGUGGGGAAUUUUGCGCAAUGGGGGGAACCCUGACGCAGCAACGCCGCGUGAGUGAUGAAGGCCUUUGGGUCGUAAAGCUCUGUCAGAGGGAAAGAAAUGUGGGCGGCUAAUAUCCGUUCCACUUGACGGUACCCUCAAAGGAAGCACCGGCUAACUCCGUGCCAGCCGCCGCAGUAAGAC
rnacentral:rRNA from 1 species